ACUCCUACGGGAGGCAGCAGUAGGGGAAUCUUCCACAAUGGGCGCAAGCCUGAUGGAGCAACACCGCGUGAGUGAAGAAGGGUUUCGGCUCGUAAAGCUCUGUUGUUAAAGAAGAACACGUAUGAGAGUAACUGUUCAUACGUUGACGGUAUUUAACCAGAAAGUCACGGCUAACUACGUGCCAGCAGCCGCGGUAAUACGUAGGUGGCAAGCGUUAUCCGGAUUUAUUGGGCGUAAAGAGAGUGCAGGCGGUUUUCUAAGUCUGAUGUGAAAGCCUUCGGCUUAACCGGAGAAGUGCAUCGGAAACUGGAUAACUUGAGUGCAGAAGAGGGUAGUGGAACUCCAUGUGUAGCGGUGGAAUGCGUAGAUAUAUGGAAGAACACCAGUGGCGAAGGCGGCUACCUGGUCUGCAACUGACGCUGAGACUCGAAAGCAUGGGUAGCGAACAAGAUUAGAUACCCUGGUAGGAUAGCG
rnacentral:rRNA from 1 species